AGAGUUUGAUCCUGGCUCAGAUUGAACGCUGGCGGCAUGCCUUACACAUGCAAGUCGAACGGCAGCACGGAGCUUGCUCUGGUGGCGAGUGGCGAACGGGUGAGUAAUAUAUCGGAACGUACCCUAGAGUGGGGGAUAACGUAGCGAAAGUUACGCUAAUACCGCAUACGAUCUACGGAUGAAAGUGGGGGAUCGCAAGACCUCAUGCCCAUGGAGCGGCCGAUAUCUGAUUAGCUAGUUGGUAGGGUAAAAGCCUACCAAGGCAUCGAUCAGUAGCUGGUCUGAGAGGACGACCAGCCACACUGGAACUGAGACACGGUCCAGACUCCUACGGGAGGCAGCAGUGGGGAAUUUUGGACAAUGGGCGAAAGCCUGAUCCAGCAAUGCCGCGUGAGUGAAGAAGGCCUUCGGGUUGUAAAGCUCUUUUGUCAGGGAAAGAAACGGUUGUCUCUAAUACAGAUGGCUAAUGACGGUACCUGAAGAAUAAGCACCGGCUAACUACGUGC
rnacentral:rRNA from 1 species